rnacentral:rRNA from 2 species
CCUCUUCCCAUUCCGAACAGAGAAGUUAAGCCUUGUCACGCCGAUGGUACUGCGUCACAGUGGGAGAGUAGGUAGCCGCCGUUU